CGAAAGCCUGACGGAGCAAUACCGCGUGAGGGAUGACUGCCUAUGGGUUGUAAACCUCUUUUUUCAGGGAGGAACACAAUGACGUGUACCUGAAGAAUAAGCAUCGGCUAACUCCGUGCCAGCAGCCGCGGUAAGACGGAGGAUGCAAGUGUUAUCCGGAAUCACUGGGCGUAAAGCGUCUGUAGGUGGUUUAAUAAGUCAACUGUUAAAUCUUGAGGCUUAACCUCAAAAUCGCAGUCGAAACUAUUAGACUAGAGUAUAGUAGGGGUAAAGGGAAUUUCCAGUGGAGCGGUGAAAUGCGUAGAUAUUGGAAAGAACACCGAUGGCGAAGGCACUUUACUGGGCUAUUACUGACACUCAGAGACGAAAGCUAGGGUAGCAAUUG
rnacentral:rRNA from 1 species